rnacentral:rRNA from 1 species
GACGAACGCUGGCGGCGUGCUUAACACAUGCAAGUCGAACGGAAAGGCCCUGCUUUUGUAGGGUGCUCGAGUGGCGAACGGGUGAGUAACACGUGAGUAACCUGCCCUUGACUUUGGGAUAACUUCAGGAAACUGGGGCUAAUACCGGAUAGGAGCUCCUGCUGCAUGGUGGGGGUUGGAAAGUUUCGGCGGUUGGGGAUGGACUCGCGGCUUAUCAGCUUGUUGGUGGGGUAGUGGCUUACCAAGGCUUUGACGGGUAGCCGGCCUGAGAGGGUGACCGGCCACAUUGGGACUGAGAUACGGCCCAGACUCCUACGGGAGGCAGCAGUGGGGAAUAUUGCACAAUGGGCGGAAGCCUGAUGCAGCAACGCCGCGUGCGGGAUGACGGCCUUCGGGUUGUAAACCGCUUUCGCCUGUGACGAAGCGUGAGUCACGGUAAUGGGGAAAGAAGCACCGGCUAACUACGU